UAGAGCUGGCGGCAGGCUUACACAUGCAAGUCGAGCGGGGGAGGUUGCUUCGGUAACUGACCUAGCGGCGGACGGGUGAGUAAUGCUUAGGAAUCUGCCUAUUAGUGGGGGACAACAUUCCGAAAGGGAUGCUAAUACCGCAUACGCCCUACGGGGGAAAGCAGGGGAUCUUCGGACCUUGCGCUAAUAGAUGAGCCUAAGUCGGAUUAGCUAGUUGGUGGGGUAAAGGCCUACCAAGGCGACGAUCUGUAGCGGGUCUGAGAGGAUGAUCCGCCACACUGGGACUGAGACACGGCCCAGACUCCUACGGGAGGCAGCAGUGGGGAAUAUUGGACAAUGGGCGGAAGCCUGAUCCAGCCAUGCCGCGUGUGUGAAGAAGGCCUUUUGGUUGUAAAGCACUUUAAGCGAGGAGGAGGCUCUUAAGGUUAAUACCCUUGAUGAGUGGACGUUACUCGCAGAAUAAGCACCGGCUAACUCUGUGCCAGCAGCCGCGGUAAUACAGAGGGUGCGAGCGUUAAUCGGAUUUACUGGGCGUAAAGCGUGCGUAGGCGGCUGAUUAAGUCGGAUGUGAAAUCCCUGAGCUUAACUUAGGAAUUGCAUUCGAUACUGGUCAGCUAGAGUAUGGGAGAGGAUGGUAGAAUUCCAGGUGUAGCGGUGAAAUGCGUAGAGAUCUGGAGGAAUACCGAUGGCGAAGGCAGCCAUCUGGCCUAAUACUGACGCUGAGGUACGAAAGCAUGGGGAGCAAACAGGAUUAGAUACCCUGGUAGUCC
rnacentral:rRNA from 1 species